rnacentral:rRNA from 1 species
CCCUUCCAGAGGGGGACAACAGUUGGAAACGACUGCUAAUACCGCAUACGAUCUAAUCUCGGCAUCGAGGAUAGAUGAAAGGUGGCCUCUACAUGUAAGCUAUCACUGAAGGAGGGGAUUGCGUCUGAUUAGCUAGUUGGAGGGGUAACGGCCCACCAAGGCGAUGAUCAGUAGCCGGUCUGAGAGGAUGAACGGCCACAUUGGGACUGAGACACGGCCCAG